AUCCAUCCUUAUCCCCUCUCCCCGAAAACCCUAGCCUGCGCCCUCUCCCCCGAUACAUCCCUCCCCUCGUCCUCCCAUCGCGCCGCCACCCAACCCGUCCCGCGACCCAGACCCAACCCCACCUGCUCCCCUGAUCCCACCGGUGUGCUCUUCCUCCACAUGGCCAAGGACCCUCCCUCCGCUUCAUCCUCCCCUCGGCCAGAUCUUGUGCGCACGACCUACAACGGCCAUGCACCACCCUCCGAUGGCUAGGGUUUCAGCCUCGUUGUCGCCGGCGAGGCUUCUCUGGUUGUAAACUGUCGUGACAUGGAUGGAUCCGCGACGCGACGGUGAGGGCCUCCCUCCUCUAACCUCCAUCGACGGCCAUGGCUCGGUGAGCUCCCUGUUUGCUGGAUCCAAACCCCUCCGUCAUUCUCUCUCAUUCCCAUGUCCCGCCCUUGGUCCGAUUCGAUUCGACCUGGGGUUGUAGGCGGCCUCCAUAUACAAGGACUGGAGAGGAGGUUGACCAGGACCCCAUGCCCAUGACGCCGAUUGCUCAUCAAGGUCCCAACACAAGGAGAAGCGACCGCAGGUGCAUCUUCAAUCAUUCCCAGCUCAUAUAGAAUCCGCGGCAGCAAUAGCAGCAGAUGCAUCUAUGAAGAUGAGGAGGCAAUGCCAAGCAGCAGCAACAGCAACUCAAGGUCCGGCCUCCUUGCGUGGCACCGAAUGAUGGAUGUACGCCUAGUCUUCCCGGCGAUUUCGUUGUGAAUCUGCAGCCACCGCUCGUUGUAGGAGAGUGACAGGAGAGUUACAGGAUUAUUAUUUUUAAAGAAGUUGGAAGUCCAAGUCAAUGACUUGCUUUAUAUGUCUGUUGUAAUGUCAAAUUUUCUGGGAAUUUGGAUGUAUUGUUCAUCUUGCUGAGAAUUUUGUGUAUAUUUGCUCGCUAAAUUUAUUAAUCAAAUGCUAGAAUUCAUGUACAAAUCCUUGGAAUAAUAUUUUGUGUUUACUUGAAA